rnacentral:rRNA from 1 species
GAUGAACGCUGGCGGCGUGCUUAACACAUGCAAGUCGAACGGGAAACCUUUUAUUGAAGCUUCGGCAGAUUUAAAUUGUUUCUAGUGGCGGACGGGUGAGUAACGCGUGGGUAACCUGCCUUAUACAGGGGGAUAACAGUCAGAAAUGACUGCUAAUACCGCAUAAGCGCACAGAGCUGCAUGGCUCGGUGUGAAAAACUCCGGUGGUAUAUGAUGGACCCGCGUUGGAUUAGCUAGUUGGUGAGGUAACGGCCCACCAAGGCGACGAUCCAUAGCCGGCCUGAGAGGGUGAACGGCCACAUUGGGACUGAGACACGGCCCAGACUCCUACGGGAGGCAGCAGUGGGGAAUAUUGCACAAUGGGGGAAACCCUGAUGCAGCGACGCCGCGUGAAGGAAGAAGUAUCUCGGUAUGUAAACUUCUACCAGCAGGGAAGAAAAUGACGGUACCUGACUAAGAAGCCCCGGCUAACUACGUGCCAGCCGCCGCGGUAA